rnacentral:rRNA from 1 species
GUGCUGGCGGCAUGCUAUACAUGCAGUCGAGCGGACAGAUGGGAGCUUGCUCCCUGAUGUUAGCGGCGGACGGGUGAGUAACACGUGGGUAACCUGCCUGUAAGACUGGGAUAACUCCGGGAAACCGGGGCUAAUACCGGAUGGUUGUUUGAACCGCAUGGUUCAAACAUAAAAGGUGGCUUCGGCUACCACUUACAGAUGGACCCGCGGCGCAUUAGCUAGUUGGUGAGGUAACGGCUCACCAAGGCAACGAUGCGUAGCCGACCUGAGAGGGUGAUCGGCCACACUGGGACUGAGACACGGCCCAGACUCCUACGGGAGGCAGCAGUAGGGAAUCUUCCGCAAUGGACGAAAGUCUGACGGAGCAACGCCGCGUGGGGAUGGAAGGUUUUCGGAUCGAAAGCUUCCGUUGUUAUGGAACAGUUGUAAUCUUUGCGA